rnacentral:tRNA from 1 species
GCGGAACUGGCGGAAUUGGCAGACGCGCUAGAUUUAGGUUCUAGUGCCGCGAGGCGUGAAGGUUCAAGUCCUUUCAUCCGCA